rnacentral:rRNA from 1 species
UACGUAGGGGGGCUAGCGUUGUCCGGAAUCAUUGGGCGUAAAGCGCGUGUAGGCGGCCCGGUAAGUCCGCUGUGAAAGUCCAGGGCUCAACCCUGGGAUGCCGGUGGAUACUGUCGGGCUCGAGUCCGGAAGAGGAGUGUGGAAUUCCUGGUGUAGCGGUGAAAUGCGCAGAUAUCAGGAGGAACACCAAUGGCGAAGGCAGCACUCUGGGACGUGACUGACGCUGAGACGCGAAAAGCGUGGGGAGCAAACAGG